rnacentral:lncRNA from 1 species
UUGGGCCGGGUUAAGAUUAGAUCUCAGAAAUCCUUUCGGCCCGAUUUAGCCAACAUAUUUGUUGUGAUUAGACAGGGCUUGUAUUGUUUUGGGCCUGGCAGGCUUCAUUUGGUGUCAGUCUUGUAAUACUGUCUUUACUGUGUCAAAAUGGAAAAUCACACUUUUGUAAAUUUCAUUUAUACAUGGGUCAAACACAACACACUCGGUCCGUAUCUACAAGAGCCAUUGAACAUGGUUUAUAUUUAAUGUAGGUUCUUAUGAUCUUCUUAAACUCGUAAAAUGUUUAUUCUUAAAAACACACAUGAUUAAAUUAAUUUUUAUUUAUGUUAGAUUGGUACCUUGGUUGCUGUUUGGUAUAGAUUUUUUACAAUUUUCUUAUUUUUCUAUCUCUAUUAUUCUAUCAUAUGAGUGAAUAGUGAUAACAUCUUCUAGCUUUAUCACAUUUCUUCUUUCUAGAGCUCAAAAAAAAUUGCCGGUGCAUUUUGCACGAAUAUAAAUAGAUUAGGGAUUUUUGUAUUUUGAUAUCAAAAUCAAAUUGGAAAUAGGUAAUCGAAAAUGAAAUGAAAUCAUAUUUUUUAUAAAUUAAAAUAUAUAUUAUACAUUGUUUUUUUUAAAUGAUUUAUUUAACAAAACUUUUAAAAUAUUAAAAAUAAUUGUAAUUUUUUUUAAAUAAAAUCUGUCACAGUUCAACAAAAAGAAGAAAGUGCGUGUAAUAGGAAGAUAAAAUACUAUCGUCCUAGAUGAAUCAAUAGGUUUGUUAGUACUUAACUCAAUUUUUUUCUCAAGAAGCAUAUUAUUUCUCAAAAACAGUAGUUGGUGAGAAAGAAAAUCUACCUACGAGUCAAUAAUACAGGGGGGUUGGUGAGAAGAAAAUCCAAUCUCCGUUGGCAGCUUCUCCUCUUCAUGUCUGAAAGUCUUCUCCUCUUCAUCUGGUGUUGGUGACUAAGAAAAUCUCCUCCUCGCCCGAUGUAGAUCUCGUUGUCGUCAAAAGUUUUGGUAAAAUUUGAAGAAGAUUUAGGGUUUGUGAGAGUAAAAAAAGAAAACGAUUGUGGGAGAGUUUGGGGGAAAUGUAUUUUAAGGAUUUAUAUUUAAUUAAUUUAUGAGUCUAAUAUUUAACUCAUGAAUCUAAUUGAUUAAUUCAUGAGUCUAAUUGAUUAAUUGAUAAGUUUAAUUAGUUAAUUAAUUCAUUAGUGUAAUUUUUAACUUAUGUGUUUAAUUGACGAAAAAUCCGUCAUAUUAUGUUUUAUGAAUCGUGGU